rnacentral:piRNA from 1 species
UCACUGGAGCAGCCUGUUUUCUCUUUGUG